CAUGCAAGUAGGACGCACAGUCUAUACCGUAGCUUGCUACACCAUAGGCUGUGAGUUGCGAACGGGUGAGUAACGCGUAGGUAACCUGCCUAUUAGAGGGGGAUAACUAUUGGAAACGAUAGCUAAUACCGCAUAACAGUAUGUAACACAUGUUAGAUGCUUGAAAGAUGCAAUUGCAUCGCUAGUAGAUGGACCUGCGUUGUAUUAGCUAGUAGGUAGGGUAAAGGCCUACCUAGGCAACGAUACAUAGCCGACCUGAGAGGGUGAUCGGCCACACUGGGACUGAGACACGGCCCAGACUCCUACGGGAGGCAGCAGUAGGGAAUCUUCGGCAAUGGGGGGAACCCUGACCGAGCAACGCCGCGUGAGUGAAGAAGGUUUUCGGAUCGUAAAGCUCUGUUGUUAAGGAAGAACGAGUGUGAGAAUGGAAAGUUCAUGCUGUGACGGUACUUAACCAGAAAGGGACGG
rnacentral:rRNA from 1 species